rnacentral:rRNA from 1 species
GUGGGGAAUAUUGGACAAUGGGGGGAACCCUGAUCCAGCCAUGCCGCGUGUGUGAAGAAGGCCUUUUGGUUGUAAAGCACUUUAAGCGAGGAGGAGGCUACCGAGAUUAAUACUCUUGGAUAGUGGACGUUACUCGCAGAAUAAGCACCGGCUAACUCUGUGCCAGCAGCCGCGGUAAUACAGAGGGUGCAAGCGUUAAUCGGAUUUACUGGGCGUAAAGCGCGUGUAGGUGGCCAAUUAAGUCAAAUGUGAAAUCCCCGAGCUUGACUUGGGAAUUGCAGUCGAUACUGGUUGGCUAGAGUAUGGGAGAGGAUGGUAGAAUUCCAGGUGUAGCGGUGAAAUGCGUAGAGAUCUGGAGGAAUACCGAUGGCGAAGGCAGCCAUCUGGCCUAAUACUGACACUGAGGUGCGAAAGCAUGGGGAGCAAACAGGAUUAGAAACCCCGGUAGUCC